CUUGCCCACUCCCUGCCCUGGCUCUGGGGUCCUCAUGGCCAGGCUGCAUGGGCUCUGGCAGUCCCCAUCACCCACCAGGAAGAAUAAACAAGACUUGAGGGCAAGAAGAGGCAACAGCCCAACAGACUGAAAAUGAGAAAGCUGGACAACACCAAGGACAAGGCAACCAUUGUGCACGGAUGGUGGUCAUGUGGGUGGGCACAGCCAUUCGGCAGAGGAAUGGAAGUCAAAUCAAUCCUGUGGUUCUCAGUCCCUGGAAACCCCAGAAUCCAUCACCAUGGAUCCUCCAGCAGAUCCCACAGCCGGGUGCCACUGGAGAUGUCAUCGAUGCCCCGGUCCGGAAGCAACUGCGGACGGGCAGAGGCAACGUGAACCUGAGACUCCGGCCCAGAUCCUGACCGGAGACCCCU